rnacentral:rRNA from 1 species
GACGAACGCUGGCGGCGUGCUUAACACAUGCAAGUCGAACGGAAAGGCCUGCUUUCCCUUGUGGAUUGCGGGUACUCGAGUGGCGAACGGGUGAGUAACACGUGAGUGAUCUGCCCCCAACUUGGGUAUAAGCCUGGGAAACUGGGUCUAAUUCCCGAUAGGACUGCAGGGUGGUGCCUGUGGUGGAAAACGAUUUUCUAGUGGUUGGGGAUGAGCUCGCGGCCUAUCAGCUUGUUGGUGGGGUAAUGGCCUACCAAGGCGGCGACGGGUAGCCGGCCUGGGAGGGUGGACGGCCACAUUGGGACUGAGAUACGGCCCAGACUCCUACGGGAGGCAGCAGUGGGGAAUAUUGCACAAUGGGCGGAAGCCUGAUGCAGCGACGCCGCGUGGGAGAUGACGGCCUUCGGGUUGUAAGCUCCUUUCGACCGCGAGGAAGCCACCUGGUUGGAAGGGUGGUGACGGUAGUGGUAGAAGAAGCACCGGCUAACUACGUG